rnacentral:rRNA from 1 species
UACGAAGGGGGCUAGCGUUGCUCGGAAUUACUGGGCGUAAAGCGCACGUAGACGGCUUUUUAAGUCGGGGGUGAAAUCCUGGAGCUCAACUCCAGAACUGCCUUCGAUACUGGAAAGCUCGAGUCCGGGAGAGGUGAGUGGAACUGCGAGUGUAGAGGUGAAAUUCGUAGAUAUUCGCAAGAACACCAGUGGCGAAGGCGGCUCACUGGCCCGGUACUGACGCUGAGGUGCGAAAGCGUGGGGAGCAAACAGG